UACGAAGGGGGCUAGCGUUGUCCGGAUUUAUUGGGCGUAAAGAGCGUGUAGGCGGCUUCACAGGUCCGCUGUGAAAACUCGAGGCUCAACCUCGAGCUGUCGGUGGAAACCGUGUGGCUAGAGUCCGGAAGAGGAGAGUGGAAUUCCCGGUGUAGCGGUGAAAUGCGCAGAUAUCGGGAAGAACACCCGUGGCGAAGGCGGCUCUCUGGGACGGUACUGACGCUGAGACGCGAAAGCGUGGGGAGCGAACAGG
rnacentral:rRNA from 1 species